rnacentral:rRNA from 1 species
AUGCACGCUGGCGGCGUGCCUAAUCCAUGCAAGUCGAGCGAACAGACGAGGAGCUUGCUCCUCUGACGUUAGCGGCGGACGGGUGAGUAACACGUGGAUAACCUACCUAUAAGACUGGGAUAACUUCGGGAAACCGGAGCUAAUACCGGAUAAUAUAUUUAACCGCAUGGUUCAAUAGUGAAAGACGGUUUUGCUGUCACUUAUAGAUGGAUCCGCGCCGCAUUAGCUAGUUGGUAAGGUAACGGCUUACCAAGGCAACGAUGCGUAGCCGACCUGAGAGGGUGAUCGGCCACACUGGAACUGAGACACGGUCCAGACUCCUACGGGAGGCAGCAGUAGGGAAUCUUCCGCAAUGGGCGAAAGCCUGACGGAGCAACGCCGCGUGAGUGAUGAAGGUCUUCGGAUCGUAAAACUCUGUUAUUAGGGAAGAACAAAUGUGUAGUAACUAUGCACGUCUUGACGGUACCUAAUCAGAAAGCCACGGCUAACUACGUG